ACUAAGGCUGAUAGAAAUCAAAUCCAGGCUCACUGAUCGGACCAUGGUGAUGGUGAUGGAUUCACACCUGGACAGCGCCCAAUUUGCAUUUCUAGUCAAGAUUUGGUUUUGAACUCCAUUCAAAGAGACUUGGAGAAUAAUCGUUGCAACACGUGUCAAAUGGGAUCUCCCAUUCGAACAGUGCUCUCUUGUUUUGUUGUGUUUUUGUUUUCCUCCUAUGUUUCUUCAGACUUCCCUCUGAAAUGGAUUUGAAGGCUAGCUACUUUGAAUCAAUCAUCAACACCUCCGGUGCAACUCAGCUAUCACAACUCAGGCAAAGAGGCCCAAGACAGGGCG
rnacentral:sRNA from 1 species